ACUUUAAAAAAAUCAAUUGGAGUACCUUUUCACAUUGGCUUUUUUGUUUGUUUGAGCCAUUCCAUUAAUAGGUAAAGGACUGAGUGUCUAUACAGAGUUUAUGGCAAUGUUAAUAACAAUAAAUGAUGUGUUGUGUGUGUUUCUCUGUGUCACUAGUAAAGGUGCCUGAGGAGAAGAGAGGCAUGAGACCCCACUGGAUCUGCAGUGACAGACCAGGUAUAAUUCAUAACAUCUAACAGAAGUUUGAUGCUCUGCUGAGUGAAUUCCUGAAAGAGCAAGUGACUGAAGACUGAAAUUCCUUUUCUGAUGUUGCCUUUUGGACAGCAGAAACAUGACGGCCAGGGUCUAAACAUCCAUGUAGAGAAUCUUGGGCAACGUAAUGACGUGGGAUUUUCAUCGUUACACUUGGGUUUGAUCAGUUACUAUCAUGAUGAACCUUGUAUCACCAGCCAUCCCGAGUUUGAGUUUCUUCAUCUAGGAAUGCACCUGGAAGCACCCUGUAAACCAGAGAGCCGCACAAACGCUAGCUCACUGUGGUUCUGGGAACUUCAUUCCAGAUCCUACAUCUGCACCCACCUUCACGGGCGAAGUCUGAAAAAGAGGCUUCCCGUCACAUGCCUUUUGGGCUUUCUGCGCGUCCCUCGAUGAGUAAAACUUGAUGAUAGCAUAGAAACCAGGGCGAGCCACUGCAGCGUUCGGGAAGACUCGGACUGAAUACAAUAGGCCAAACUGGGAGAACACUGCGGACAGAGAAUGCUGUGGGAGGCCCACGACGUGAGUGCUCAUCUCCAGCCACCGAGAAAACCCAACUCCCACGAGUCCUCGCCCUCCCCACGCGGAGCACUUGUCCGGGCAGGAACAGGGGCUUCCUCAGAGGAGAUGAGCGCGGGUGGCGAAGGACGCCCUGGUGGAUCACCAAAACCGGGUGCCCCUCCGCGCGGGCCCCUGUCCGGUUCCCUCCUCCCUUUCCUCCGCGCCGCCACUCACACUUAAGGCCUCAGCUGGGGGACCGGCGCUCAGCUCCCACACCAACAAAACUUUGUCACUCUGGGUGGGAACCGCGAAAGAAAUCAACUCCGCCAUGGUAAAGCCACUGCGCCUGCGCAAGGAACUACCGCGAACUUCGAAUUAGGAGUCGCACAGAAGGGGCGGCGCUGGAUGAGAACGGGGCGGAGCCCAGUCUCCACGGCUUCCCUAAAGCUUAACACCGAGCAGGUAUUUCAGUGCCAUUGUCUCGCUUAUACAUAACACUCUACACGUAUUCGGACACCCUACUGGGUUCUAGGUGGCAUCUUUUUUGUUUUGUUUUUCUCUAUAGUUUUGGUACCUGUCCUGGAGCUAGCUCUUGUAGACCAGGCUGGCCUUGAACUCAGAGAUCCGCCUGCCUCUGCCUCCUGAGUGCUGGGAUUCAAAGCUCGCGCCACCACCGCCCGACACUAGGUGACAUUUUUAAAUGAACAACGUUAGAUUCUCAUAUCUUGUAAUAUCACUUAAUACAAUAACCUUUGUUCUCUCAAAACCAUAACCACCAUAAGCAAUGGAUCGAAGGCACUGAUGUCUGGAAACCACUAGUCUCCUGGUUUAUGUUUAACCGGUUUACGCUUUCUACAAACUCUGGCAAACUAUAUUACAUAUCAGGAAAUGUGUAUAAAAGAACCACAAGCUGAGUGCGAUAUACUGCCCUGGAAAUAACAAGCACUUACCGUACCUAAGCACUUAAGAGUAUUUCUUACAUGUUUUACUUUAACCAUAUUAUUUCCCCGAGGGGAUGCACCGUUCCUGGAGGUACUGCAAUACCAGGUCGAUGCGUGGAGUGGACGGAGCAAGCUCCUAUUCCAACUCCUAGUUCCAAAAAUCCAUUUAAUAUAUUGUCCUCGGAUAGAGGACGUAUCAGAUAUUAAACUGAUAAGAACAGAUACUACACUUGAUCUUAGCCAAAAGGCCGAGAAGCGAUAACUCCUCACUCACUCGCGCCCGCUACACUCACCUGCGCGCACACAUUCACAUCACGGUCGCCCGCGCUCGCGCGCCCGGGGACACUCGUCCGAUACCGACUCUCCUGCUCUAUCCCAAACACCCCUUUUCUCGAGGGAAAACCUGUCAGAUCAGCAUGGGCCGAGAAGUUUUCGAUGCUCUUUUUGCUCCCAGACUUCUUGGGAGCCGCGGCCACGUCCUCAUUUGCAUGCCCCGCCCAGCACGCGUUACGUCUCUGCUGUGCAGAGGGCCGGACUUUUCCCCCCCACUGUUCUGCCAGGUUCUUCGCAAUCUUUCAGACACGGAAUUGACAGUAGCCACCACAAGAAGUACUGUCACUCUUUCUCCCUUCCCUUUCCUGACCUCUUCACUUUAUAUAUGGUUCAGAGUGUUUUGUUGUCAAGUGGCAAGAUCGCAAUUGGUUUGGGUAGGGCUUCGAUGGUGAGUAUAACCCUCGGAGAAUGCACACUUUGACCUGCUCAAGGGAUAGGAUUCUUGAGUAAAGGGGCCUUUCGAUUUCCAGCAUAUAUAUGUAUGUAUAAAACUCUCGGUUCCAGGGGAGCUAACCGGCACACACACAUACAAUACACACAGGAAAAACAUACAC